rnacentral:rRNA from 1 species
CCCUUAGAUGUUCUGGGCCGCACGCGCGCUACACUGACGGAGUCAACGAGUUGUCCUGCAUCGGAAGGUGUGGGUAAUCUUUUGAAACUUCGUCGUGCUGGGGAUAGAUCUUUGCAAUUUUCGAUCUUGAACGAGGAAUUCCUAGUAAGCGUGAUUCAUCAGAUCGCGUUGAUUACGUCCCUGCCCUUUGUACACACCGCCCGUCGCACCUACCGAUUGAAUGGUCCGGUGAAGCCUCCGGAUUGGCGCGCACCUCGGUGCCGCCGAGAAGUUGGCUAAACCUUACCAUUUAGAGGAAGGUGAAGUCGUAACA